UGCAAGUCGAACGAGAAUCUGUGGAAAGAGGAUUCGUCCAAUUGAAGCAGAGGACAGUGGCGGACGGGUGAGUAACGCGUGAGGAACCUGCCUUUCAGAGGGGGACAACAGUUGGAAACGACUGCUAAUACCGCAUAACAUAUAGAUGUCGCAUGGCAUUUAUAUCAAAGAUUUAUCGCUGAAAGAUGGCCUCGCGUCUGAUUAGCUAGUUGGUGAGGUAACGGCCCACCAAGGCGACGAUCAGUAGCCGGACUGAGAGGUUGAACGGCCACAUUGGGACUGAGAUACGGCCCAGACUCCUACGGGAGGCAGCAGUGGGGAAUAUUGGGCAAUGGGCGCAAGCCUGACCCAGCAACGCCGCGUGAAGGAAGAAGGCUUUCGGGUUGUAAACUUCUUUUGUCAGGGACGAGUAGAAGACGGUACCUGACGAAUAAGCCACGGCUAACUACGUGCCAGCAGCCGCGGUAAUACGUAGGUGGCAAGCGUUGUCCGGAUUUACUGGGUGUAAAGGGCGUGUAGCCGGGAGGGCAAGUCAGAUGUGAAAUCCACGGGCUCAACUCGUGAACUGCAUUUGAAACUACUCUUCUUGAGUAUCGGAGAGGCAAUCGGAAUUCCCAGUGUAGCGGUGAAAUGCGUAGAUAUUAGGAGGAACACCAGUGGCGAAGGCGGAUUGCUGGACGACAACUGACGGUGAGGCGCGAAAG
rnacentral:rRNA from 1 species